rnacentral:rRNA from 1 species
UACGGAGGGGGCUGGCGUUAUUCGGAAUUACUGGGCGUAAAGCGCACGUAGGCGGGACGGAAAGUCAGAGGUGAAAUCCCAGGGCUCAACCUUGGAACCGCCUUUGAAACUCCGGGUCUUGAGGUCGAGAGAGGUAAGUGGAAUUCCGAGUGUAGAGGUGAAAUUCGUAGAUAUUCGGAAGAACACCAGUGGCGAAGGCGGCUCACUGGCACGAUACUGACGCUGAGGUGCGAAAGCGUGGGGAGCAAACAGG